rnacentral:lncRNA from 1 species
AUGGGAGCAGUCUCCAAGGACAGAGUUACAAACAGCAGUCUUCUCAUGGCUAUAGGCUGGGCAGAAUUACUUCAUUGUGCCAAAGGCACUGUCAGUCAGGAACUGUAUCCAUUGUGUUCCACAUCAAGCAACUGGAUUAUAUGUAGCAGGUACCGCCAUGGGAACAACUAUAAGCUCACCUGGGGGACAUCCCAACAAUGCAGAAAGGGGAAGGCAGGUAUGUACAAUACAGAUUCGUACUAUUCAUGGUAAUUUUGUUGUCAUACUUUUGGCUAUUCUUAUUCCAAAUGAUAGGCAGUAGGCAAUAUGCCGCUUUUAAAACGUACAAAGGUAUGAGAAAUGCCACUGAGAAUCUCAUAGAUGGCUCAGGAUUUAGCAAUGGGAGUGGUAAAAGAAGAGUAAGGUAAAGGUAAAGGUUUCCCCUUACGUUAAGUCCAGUCAUGUCUGACUUUGGGGGUUGGUGCUCAUCUCCAUUUCUAAGCCGAAGAGCUGGCGUUGUCCGUAGACACCUCCAAGGUCAUGUGGCCGGCAUGACUGCAUGGAGUGCCGUUACCUUCCCGCCGGAGCGGUACCUAUUGAUCUACUCACAUUGGCAUGUUUUCGAACUGCUAGGUUGGCAGAAGCUGGAACUAACAGUGGGUGCUCAUUCCACUCCCGGGAUUUGAACCUGUGACCUUUCAGUCUGCAAGUUCAGCAGCUCAGUGCUUUAACACACUUUGCCACCGGGGCUCCUAAAAGAAGAGUAUUACAUGCUAAAUAAGUAUUCUGUCCUCCCAAACAUAAUGUUUCUCCAGUUCCUGAAUUUGUUUAUAGCAUUGCAGUAAUUUUUUUUUAAAAAAAAUCAGUUGAGUGUUUAGGCAUCCAAAGAAAGGGGGAGGAAGAGUUACCAAGGGAAUGCAAAGACAACAAACCCAAAACCUCAUAUAUAUGAACAAUUUUAAAUGACUCACUUUCUGCAAUGCUAGAAGGAAAAUUUCCAGUGAGGGGCAGAAUUCUUAUGGGGGCAGAACAAUGGUCUUCUAUAGCUACACCCAUGUUCUUGUGUUCAGUGUAUUAAGUUGGUGACUGAAGUGUGCAUAGGGACCUCAUCACACUUACUAAAAUAAGCAUCCUAGGAAACUUUGAGCUUUCUUCAGGGACGGAGCCCUACAUCAACCAUCACAUGGCAUUGUGUGGCUUCUAGAGGAGGCUCCACCCCCAACUGAGGUGGAAGCAUCCUUGGAUGCUUCUCCCCAAACAAAGAGGCCUUUCUGUGUUGUUCUGGCUCUAAUGGACCCAGCCUACUUCUACCCUCUUUGGGCAGUGCCUCCUCGGUGUGAUGGGGAAAGCGUUGCUGUGCCGGAGAGGUGUGUGGAGCAACAGAGUGCCCUUGUGCCUGCUGUUUUACAGGUGAAACGGCACCUAAUCCUCCAUGUGAUUAGGUGGCCAGAUAUCCUAUCUUGUCUUUCACUGUACAAUCAUUAUUCCUAGCUUCCCAUAUCCCAAUUAAACUUCAGGAGAGGGUACUAUAAAGAAAAGCCUCCUUUGCACCUUUUUCAGACUAGGCAGAUUUGGCAGCCACUGGAAGAAGCUGGGAGUUGAAAAGCAAUAAAGUCAUAUGUAAUAGAAAUAAAUAAAAUAGAUACUUCACUGUAAAUUUUUUUCUAUAUAAUCUAUUGCAUGCGCUUAUAUGUGUGUAUUAUAGCAGAAAUACAACCAUGUGUUAUAUUUAUAAUCAAGAAAUCUUACCAUAUAGAGGAAGUCACUGAGUUACAAACAUCCAACUUAGAAAUGACUCAUGGUUAAGAACGAGGGUGAGAGAAAUCUACACCUUGGAAGGGAAAUUCAUUCCUGGAAGAGUUAACAUAGGGAAACAGAGUCUCAAAUGAAGCUUUAUCACCAAGUCUUGUUUCCACAGCAAGUCAAAUUUUUCAAAAUCCAAUUAUUACAGGGACAGAAAAUGAGUUGAAAUCUUCCGAACAGGGGCACAGACAGCAAAACAAUCACCACAGGGGUGCUAACCCCUUCCUAUGUUAGACAAAGCUCUCUAUAUAUCUAUAUCUAUAUCUAACUGGAGUUAAGAGUUAAAGUUUAGUAUGGAGAAGUCAACCCAGUUUUUCUGGAAUGAUUUUUUGACUAAAAUUUCUAGACUUAUACAUGUGUAUAUAGGAUAAAUGUAAAAUGCAGGAUGUGCUUUAAGGUCAAAUCCUUUUUAACCUUAAUCUGACUGACAGUCUGGACUCUGCUCUCAUAGUUCAGAGGCAGAGUAUGUGAAUUGCUCCUCAGAAUUGCUCCUAUUUGAUCUGGAUUUAAUGGUAUAUCAAAUUAAUUUGGGACAAAGCAUGGUUUACCUGCUUUGUCUUGAAUUAAUCCUCUUUUACUGGAGGCGUCGUUUGGAUGCCUCCAGUAAAAGUCUGACAGGACCUGUAUUUUGGCCCUGUCUGGAAGGGCCCUGAGUGAGUACGGUACAGUACCUCACUAGGAGUAAGGAUCACUCAAAGUGAACUAUUAGCAUUUAAGAUUACAAUCCUUUACAAAUCAGAAUAUAUCCUGAUGUAUAUAUUUCUGUGGGACAUGUUUCUGUGAUGUAUAUCAAAUUUCAUUUCAUGUAUGCAUUGCAAAUAUAAAUGACAGCCAGGCAUCUGAGAGGACCUGUGGUCCCCCUCAAAUCAUAUCCAUGUUACAAAAGGUUACAUCUGCUGAAUUUCUAGCUGUCACAAUCCUAUUUACAGGCACAGAAAUAUUGGAAGGAGCAAAAAUUGUCCUCAAAAAUGUCACUUUCUUCUUGAUCUGUAAAUUCACGCACCACAUUAUGAGGUAGUUGUGCUUUAAACAAGAUACUACAGUCUAUAAGUAUUAAACACAAUUUUUUUUGAAAAAUAUUCAAAACUGGGUUUUUUUGGGUGUUGAGGAACGAUGACAAGAAGAAUCCUGGACUGAAGAGGCUCUUCAUAGUUAGGACUUAUUCAGAAUAACAUUCAUAUGGGGCUAUUUGGAGCAGAGGUGAUGAUUUUCUAUGCAGAAAACAGCUUUUUCUCUUUGAAAUAUAAUGUCCUCUUUCCUGCAUAGAAAAUCCUGUUUUCUAUGCAAAUUAAACAUAUGCAAAAUUUAUGCAGAACGAAACACCGAUUACAACAUUAUUUACACAAGAAUUAAUAUUUCUGUGUUUUAAUACUAUCUUCCACGUGAAACAGCUUGUGUCUUUCACAGAAAAUACUCAUUCCUGCUCACAACAAGCAUGUACAAUUUUUCAUGAAAUAAGUCCCAAAUUGCCAGUAGCCUUUGAAGUGUGUUUUUAGAAGAUUUUCUCACAGUGUGAACUGCUGAAAUGGCUACCUUUGAGAAGAAAUUUAGUGAAGAACUACACCUCUACAGUAAAACAUUCCUACAGAUUAACAGUAGUGGAGGUUUGUGCUAUUAAGCCCUGUUGGACAUGGAUGGAAUUUUUGGUGCACUGCUGGUAAAGUCUUUGAGUUGGCAAUUUUUCACAUAAUAAUAAUAAUAAUAAUAAUAAUAAUAAUAAUAAUAAUAAUAAUAAUAAUAAUGUUUAUUUGUAUCCCGCCUCCAUCUCCCCCGAAGGGGACUCGGGGCGGCUUACAGCAAAAUCAAAAUACAAACAAUGAUAAAAUAUAAAACAUCAGGACAAAAACAAAACCAAUAAAAAAAUUUACACAAUAAGUUAAAAAACACAACGCAGAAUUAAAACAUCAGGUUAAAAACAAUGAGGUUGCAAUAGUGGAUAAGCAAAUGUUCUUGUACACACACUUGCAGUUAUGCUGGAAGACCUAAACAUUUUUAGAGAGAUAUUUUCGCAAACCAGCAAUUUCUUUAUUGUGUUUUUCCCCUUUCACAGAGAAUGCUGACUGUGGGUUAAACCACUUUUCAUUUCCACUCUUUCAAAUCUCUUUAGAUUUACAGUGGUUCUCAACCUGUGCGUCCCAAGAUGUUUUAGCCUUCAACUCCUAGAAAUCCUAACAGCUGGUAAAUUGGCUGGGAUUUCUGGGAAUUGUAGGCCAAAACACCUGGGGACCCACAGGUUGAGAACCAUUCCUUAAGAACUCCCUCUGUUUAAAAUAAAGUGUUGCAGGACUAGCUCAAUGUUAUGCAGAUUUACUCAAAAGUAAAAUGCUACUAUACAGUCUAUAACAGUGGCUUCUCUAAUCUACCCCAAUCUUCUUCCUUACACCCUCAGGGCUCCCUGUCCUACCACACCUUUUGAUCCACACAAAAUAGAAAUGCAUAAUCUUUUAAGUAAUGCUUCUUUUGAGCUACUUCAAUGAGAAACCCAAACAAAACAAAAAGAUUAAGAACAGGCUAAUAAGUACUGUCGCCUGUUUUUUGUACCUUUAGCACAAACCACUGAGUUGCUGAACUUAUUGACCGACAGGUCGGCGGUUCGAAUCUGGCAAGCAGGGUGAGCUUCCACUGUUAGCCCCAGAUUCUGCCAACCUAACAGUUCGAAAACAUGAAAAUGUGAGUAGAUCAAUAGGUACUGCUCUGGUGAGAAGGUAACAUCACUCCAUGCAGUGAUAGUGGCCACAUGACCUUGGAAUUGUCUACAGAUAGCAUCGGCCCUUCCCCUUAGAAAUGGAGAUUAGCACAAUCCCCAGAGUCAGACACAACUAGUCUUAAUGUCAGGGGAAAACCUUUACUAGCAAAUAGCAGUCUUCUUGACAAAUUGAGUUCCAAUGCAGUAGUUCAAGACAGAAAAUGGUAAAUAAUUUCUUCCUUCUCUGAGCAUGUGCAUCUCCUUCUAACAAAGUGCACGGCUCGACUCACCAAGCUGUGCCUGUUGCAGAACAGGGCGCCCACGCCCCCAUCAUGGUGGCGAUCCAGGGGCUUCUUC